rnacentral:lncRNA from 1 species
AGAUACGGUCUGAGCUGCCACAACGGAGGACGCGUGCCCGCCGGGAGAGGAAGGCACUGCCCAAGGUGACUAGGGGCGCGGGCCAGGGAUCAGAGCCCUGCACGGUGCUCUCGGCAGCCAGCGCCACCUGGGCUCGGCCAACCUCGAACGUAAACUGAACUUUGUUCAUUACACAGCGUUGUAACUGCCCAGGAGGGCCGGCUGCUCAGAGGCAGCAUCGGUCCGCAGAACGAGGCCCACCAAACGUGGGGUCAGAGAAACCCGCUUCAAGGCCUGGCUCUGUGGUCAAGGGCAGCCGCUUACCUGUCUGAGCCUCAGCAUCCCCAUCUGGAAAAAGGGAGAGUAAUUCCUACCUCCCUGGGCCCACAGUCGAGGGAGAAAAGAAUUAUGGUGCCCUCUGCGCGCCUGGCACCAGGUAGGGGCUUUGUGAGAGCCACCUGAUUUAAGAUCCAGGUGAUGGAUGUGGAAACUGGCCAGCUCGCCCGAGGCCCUACAGCAGGAGGAAGUGACGCAGCCGGAGCCUGCAGGCUGGACCCACCGGGCACGUGGACCCACCUGACCACCAACCCACUUCGGAGCCCCUCGGAGCCCCUCGGGGCCAGCGGAGGGCGUGGGAGAGUAAAUCUGCAGAGAGGGUUAGGUCUCCUCCAUCGAGUUGGGAGAGGGGGCGCGGGGAACAGCUGAACCAGAGAGCCACCUUCCAACGGGGAGGCAGGUGCUGAGAUGAAGUGCCUGCAGACUCUGGAGUCAGGGCUCUGAAUCCCAGCUGGGGUCCUUCACCUCCUCAAGCCUCAGUGUCCCAUCUGAAAAGUGGGGUGUACACGGCACAGGGCCGUGAAGAGGCUUCCAAAGGAGAGCUGACACGCACCUGGCACACACGAGGCACGCAAAGUAACCGCCGUCACUAUUGUGGCAACAGUAGACGUGACACACACCAAGGCUUGUUACAAUUUACAGAACGCGCGUGAAGAGACACACACAUGCUCACACACGCACGAGAACACCUGUACAAACCCACACUCAGUCUUGUGCAUACACACAAGCACACACGAACACGCGUGCACACGUGUGAACCACACACAUGCACACGCUCACACACUGACAAGCCACCUGUGUGCCUGUUGUCUGAAUCCUGAGUUUCACUUGUCACAUGUGCUCCCAGUCGAGCCCCUGGCCGCCCGGAGAAGACGCCCCACAGCCUUGGACCAGCCGCGUCACCUGUCCAGGACUCAAUCUCCCCACCAAUAAAGCAGUGGGAAGAGCAGACCCUCCAGUCCAUCUACAGUGUUCCUUUGAGGGUCAGGAAGAUAAAUGUGAAAUAUGUCUUUGCUGGGUAAAACCCGAAGUAAUUACACAGGGGUCUGGAGACUGGAUAACGGCCACGUCACUCACCACUGAGCUCCCUGAGGGCGGGCCACGUCCUGAGACCUUGAUACAUCCCCUCAUCCAACCCUGCGAGGCUCCACCAUGACUCUCUGGACAGAUGAGGAAACCAAGGCAAAGGAACUUAAGGCAUUUAUCAUUCAUGUAGAGCCAACAAGCGGCUGCCCGGGACUGAACCUGGAGUUGUGGCUCCCGAGGCCCCGCCUGGACCGCUGUGCACCCUCCGACCUGCAGGCAGGGCCUGCCCCACUCUCGGGCCUGGCCCCCACGGGGUCACUGAGCGCGCCCACAGCACGUGGCAGAAGUACGUAGCAGGGAUUCAAGGAAUAUCUGACCAAAGCACACACCUCAGCAGCCCCAGGCCCUGGAAGCCCGGGCAUCGAGGCCAGGACUCCAAACCGCAGUCCCGGAGGGGAGCCCGCCCAGGAAGCCGUGCGGCCCCGAGAGGGGGACAGCUCACUGUGACGCCAGGUGACAGGUGUCAAGCAGGCCUGUGGGGCAGACUGGGAUGUUUGGCAGCCUCUAAAUUCAAUAAGACAACGUACGUGAAUAAGGUAACGCCCUGGCUCGGCCUCCUGGUAAGGGCACUCCAUAAACACAGGCGAUCGGCACUCUUAUUUUCUCCAAAUCGUGGCUACCUGCCCAGCUGCCCCUCGGUCCAGUCUGUGGAGAGCGGCGGGGCUGGUCCCAGCUUCGUCCCGUGUCACCUGGAGGGGAGCGUCCUACGGCCGGGCCUUGCACAGAGUACUUUGCUCUGCUCUGUUGUUUUUUUUUUUCUUUUAAUGCCACAGUCUUGCAGGGUCUCGCGGCUGGGGAUCCCCAAGUUGAAUCACCCCUGAAGAGAGCCGAAUAUGUGAAUGUUGACAGAAUUGUCCUUUAACACGAGUCCUCGGUGACAAAUCCACUCCACCCGUCAGCGUGAAUGUGAAGAAAAUAAAUCACUAAGAUAUGAAUUUU